UACUGUAGACAUUGCUCCUGGGAUGAGCCAGGGGUGAUCCAUUCCUGGGCUCAUUCCCACUCUACCUCGGGCCAUCGUUCUACCCUGUGCAGCCUCACAUCUUCCUGCUUCGUGGCCGCCUUUCUACUCUGAGUCACAGAAGCCAGCAGCUUCCCCAGUUAGAACCGCGUUCCUGGGAACCCUUCCACAGAGCUUACAGGUUAAACCUCUCCUACUUGCUAAGGCACGGCUUGAAAUUCAUGUUAACCUGGAUCCUGAAAACCCUUGGUCAGCGUAUGAACAGAACAAUAUCUGUGAUUGCCAUCCAUGAGAAUCUAACAGCAGGGCCUCUGCAAUCCUGGGGGCAGUACACCAGCUGCAGGUUGGAACACACAACAUUGUCACAAAACAUGGUUUGAAAGCUUCCUGAACUAAACAGAAGAGUGAGUUACAUGGCGGAACUGUCACAG